UGUCCAUAAUUUAAAAUCCCAGCAGAUGGGUUCAAUUCAAUGUUCCCAAAACGCUGUAAUUCGCCAUUCAAAAAGUUUUUGCCUUGGGCGCAUUUCAUAAUAUACAUGUAAUCAGUGGGAAUAAACCCAAAACCAAGGUUGUCCCAAUCAAUUUCAGCCAACUCUAAUGCUACAUUGCUGCCCAAACCAAAAAUAGAAUAAAUAAAUAAAAAGAGCAAUAAUUUUAUUUGCACGCCAAAUUUCACUAUGCGCUUGAUGACCACAAUUGAUUCAGUUAUUGAUACGCUUAAGUCUUAAGGAGGGAACAAAGUAGACAUCCAAACAAAAAUGUACGAGUUCCACAAAAAAUGAGGUUACAAGAUGCAGUUGACAUAGUAUUACAAGAAAGAUAAAAUUCACAAAAUAGAUUUGCCUCAAAUGAGAAUAAGCAACUAAGCCAAUUCAGAAGUGUGUACCUUUACAACAAAUACAUUGCAAGAGGAAACCUCUUCGAGAUAUCUUUUGUGAACACUAUCCAGAUAGAGAACAUCGGAAAAUCCUUUUGCUUUUGCAGCAAGCUGUACUUUUAGAACCUAGAAAAUAUAGUUUUGAGGAUUAAAGGACGCAUCAGCAUAACCAGAAUAUAAAGAUUAUCUAAUUAUAUAGUAAGGACAGUACCCAAUUCCAUGGUUUAUCAGAUAUCAUUAGGCAUCAAAAUAAAUUUAAAAUCACCCCAGCCACCCACCCCUAUUUUCCUUAGUGGCAGAUCAUAAUUCCACAGUCGAAAAUAUUCGAUAAGCAUAUAUAAGCAUGUUGCAGCGACAAGUUGCUAAUUGAAAUAACAUCUCCUCAUUAAGCGUUUAGGUCUAGGAAAAAAAUUUAACAAAUUAAUGGGAAGAGGGAAAGCAAGAAUAUUAUGGUUAUCUAUCAUUAUGAUAUUCGGAAGAGAGAGAAGAAAAUAUUUAGGUAGAGAUGUGUCCACCACACAGAAAAAGAUGUUUACUACGCUAGCAAAUAAAUAGGCACAUAAAGAACCUAGCAAAAGAGGACACAAAGGAAAGAAGGAUCCACAAAAGAGUAGCUUACUGCUGCAUAAUUUCCUAUAGUCUUAACUCCGCCAGUACCACCAGGUGUUGCUCGAUGCAUUUCAGUCUCGACUACUAAAUUUAUUGGUGCCAAACCUUCCUGGUGAUAUCAGAAACAAAUGAUAACUAAGAGGAUUUGUGGAGUAUGUAUUAGAAGCUGGUACAAAAAAUUGUGUAAAGAAUAUUCAUUGAUCAAAAGGAAUGGUACAUUAGAUAGUAUGCUUCCACAAAUCAGUUGUGAAAAAAUGAUUUUCAAGAUGAGAUAAUAAUUUCAGCCAAAAAAUACCAUGCUAAAGUAGUUCCUAAAUGAAUAUUAGCAGUAACAUAUGAGAUUCAACUAUCCAUCUUAUCCAAAAUAAUUUCUGGAUAUCGUUACAUGUGUGAGAGUAAUUAUCAAGUCUAUAAGAACCAGUUACAAGACUGAGCAUCAAGACAAGCUUCAGGUCAAAUUGAGAUACAGAACCAAACUAGUUCAACUGUUAAUUCUAUGCCUCCUUCCAGUAUCUCUAGUUCUACUCCUUUUUUCUAUUCUCCCAAUCAAGAUGAGAAGGUAUGGAAUUUGGUACACCACCAAAGUUGCAGCGAUGGUUCGUUGGUCAAAAGAGACUUUUUGGAUGUAUCUAACUCCUUUGUUAAACUACAUUACAAGAUAUUUCUAAUAGAGAAAGCCAAACUAAAUAACUUAUAGUGCUUUCUCACUUUCCACCAGUAGUUACAAUUUACAGUCAAAAUUCAAGAAUUACACCAUUCUUCAUUAGCAUUAGAAGCAGAUGUUGUGAUAAAUCAGAUUUCAGAAUGUAUUAUAUCGGUCAACAGUCAGUUAUAUUAUUAGUAAGCAUGCAUGAAACACAUAGCAAAAGAGCAAAAAUAAUAUUCCUAAAUGUACUGAAAGGUAGCCUAAAGCAGAUAGAAUUACAUAACAAAAAGAAGAUAUGAUAAAGCAACUGAUUCAGGUGGCAACAUAAUCCAUGAGAGAGUCAUGAUACCUUGAAAUAGUUGCCAACAGGUGAUACAUAAAUCAAAAAGGUGUAUUCGGGAGCAGGUGCAAGACCUAGAACAGCUCCACUCCCCAUAAGCAAUGGUCUUAUAUACAACGAACCUUUACCUGGUGGGGGAAUCUGAUAGAAGACAGCAAAGCAGAUACAUACAUUCCAAUUUUAUGCAACAUAAUAAAAACUGAAAUUGCUAUGCUAAAUUGUCACAUUACCCAUCUUUCAUUUGCUAAAAUGGUUAGUUUUACAGCUUCCACAAACUGUUCUACACUAGGAGAAGGCAUGCACAUACGUUCUGCACCAGUCCUUAGUCGAAAUGCAUUUUCCUCAGGACGAAACAACAAAAUAUUGCCAUCAUGUUUCCUAUAAGCUUUUAAACCUUCUAAUAAUCCCUACAACAUAAUUUCAAAAAAGUAAUUCAGCGAAAACAAGGCAACCUGAAUAGAGCAACUCCUAAAACUAAAAGAUAAUUUCCAGUAAAAAAAAAAAAAAAAAGAAUAAAAAUACAACACUGACCUGUCCAUAAUUUAAAAUCCCAGCAGAUGGGUUCAAUUCAAUGUUCCCAAAACGCUGUAAUUCGCCAUUCAAAAAGUUUUUGCCUUGGGCGCAUUUCAUAAUAUACAUGUAAUCAGUGGGAAUAAACCCAAAACCAAGGUUGUCCCAAUCAAUUUCAGCCAACUCUAAUGCUACAUUGCUGCCCAAACCAAAAAUAGAAUAAACUAUAAACCCACAAUUAAAACAAAUUAAAGUCAGUUCACUAUAACUUAAAACACAAAUUUGGCUCUAAAUUAAAAAUAUUACCUG
rnacentral:lncRNA from 1 species